CAACGGACUUGAACAUCAUGUGAGUGCGCGCGGGGAAACCUGCGACGUAGAACUGCUCAAAUUCGGGGAACCCUGUCAAAUGGCAAUCCCGAGCCAAGCCCGUGCCUCGCGGCCGGGAAGGUGUAGAGACUAGACGGGCAGCACCUAAACCCUGAAAUGCCAGGGCAGGGUGAAGGGAUAGUCCAGACCCCGAACGCG
rnacentral:ncRNA from 1 species